GGGUGUGAUCAUAUCAGCACAGACCAAAUUUUAUCAGAAUUCUGCAGUUACACGUGUUUGAACGAAAAUAAUAUCAGAAUUGAUGACCUCGUGGGAACUCUUCCUGUUGCACGAC
rnacentral:rRNA from 1 species